UUCCCCGAUCACCACAACAGCCGCCAGAGCCGCUGCACCUCUCCUUCCUCCCUCCUUCCUCCUCGUCGUCAGAGCCGCCGCACCUCUCCUUCCUCCUCGCCACACCCCUGCCGCAGCGCGCAUCCCUCCGAUCAUCAAGCCCAACUCCUCUUCACAUUUCUCCUCCUCCCAGAACCACAUCCCGUUGCUUAGGCUCCAUGGUGGCAGUCGGCUCGAGGUGAGCCUGGUGAAGGCGGGCAGAAGUAGCGGGGCGACGGAUGCCGGUAGGAGAGUGCCGGACGGCUCCCUCAUUGUCGCCCCGCUAAGACGCAUGGAAGAAGGACCAGGAUCUCACCCUCAUCCCUUCUGGAUGCACCUCCCCACGUGAGUUCCUCCUGCCUAAUUCAGCUCCCCCUUACAUUUAAUUUCAUUCUUGUUUCACAUGUUGGAUUGGUUGGCAAGAGAUGUUGCGCUGCCGACUGCAGUAGCCAGGGUUGGCGUUGGUGAUGUCUGUAGGUAUUUUUGUCCUCGCCAGUCACACAAUUCCUUAGGUUUGGUCAAUAUACUUAUCCUUUGAUUUCUCCAAUAUUUUCCUUCCUGAUUUUGUUUGAUGAUUUGCUAGGUUAUGGGAUUGGAUCUCCAUUUUCAGGAUUCUUAGCUAAUAAGUAUAUUGUGCGGAAAAAUCUCUGUUGAGUUAUGUUGUGCACAUCCAAAUCCAAGCAAUGUAAGUGACCUAGAAUUUCACUGGUGUUAUGGUACAUCUUAUACAAUUUCUGAAUUCCAAUACCGUUCCUGUGUAGCUGGAUACUCCAUGGGGCAAAGUUGAAGCUUUGUACAUCACUUCUCUACCUGUUUAUUAAUGUUUCUUCAUGUUUGGCAGUGAUCUGGGUUUCCAUGUACUUGAUAGAUGCAUUCCUUAUGUGUUCCAUCUAUGCAUCUAUGUUUCUGCCCAUAAAUGUACUUAUGAGCUGGCUCCAUUUUUUACGGCUUUCCCGUGGCAAUUUGAAAAGUACCCUUUAUUCCCGUACAAAGGGCUAUACAUGCAUUUAAAGAAGUGCACAUUUUCUAUAAACAUAAGCAUUGUCUUACCCCCACUGCUCUCUGGCGUGCAGCGAAGAUUUCAUCCUCAACCUCCCUCACGGCCCCAGAUUCGGCUACUUUCCAGUUUUGUUAGUUUUCUUCUUGGUAGCACUGAACACCAUGGAAACAUGGGCGUAGUGGCCACCCACAUGCAUUUGUCGUCCUCCUUAAAAUUCAAUUAGAUUAUAUACAAAUAUGCAGCCAUGUUUACUUAAGAUCCAAUUAGAUAAAUGUUGUUUAUUUUUCCUACGGAUAGGGCCAGUGCGUAAAUUAUAUUUGGCAAGUCUGUUUAUUUGCUAAGUUUCCUUUAGAGGAUAUCAGAAGCCUGGGCUAUAUGAUCCUUAUUCCACAACUUCAACAUAAGAACUGUUAGGUGGAACGUUUUGGGUUUUAUGAAUAUUGACUUGUCAAUGCCGAACACUGUAGGAAAUUAAUAAGAGCAGUUCAAUGCGUGAAUGGAACAAAAACAUUGUAAUUUCGAAAUGCACAGAAUGAUAUUAAUAAUAUCUAGCAUCUCCGAUAUAGCACUAGCAGUCUAGCAUACAAUCAGACUACAAAAUAGCACAAUUUCUAGAUAUUUCUACUAGUUGUACUUUUUUCAGAAUUCCCGAUCUUUUAACUUUAAAUACAUUAUAUUUCUAUUAGACUUCCUUUUAUUUUCAAUUUGCAUAUAGCUUCUCUAGCAUGACACUUUGGAGCUACUGAGCUAUCAGGAUAAAGAUAAAAAGUAUGGCAUGCCGACCAAUAUAGACAAAACAACUUUGGACAUAAAGUAUACUUGAGACCAAAAUUAAGCUAAAAUAACAUCACAUAUUCACAUCUUGCUUUUUUUCAAAAACCCAAUUCCCCUCUAUAUAUUAAUUGCUUGGUACAUCAUAUAGCUUGGAAAAAACAUGGCUAUCUAUCUUUGUUUGUUCAUUUGCUUUGUUUCACAAUUUCAUACCCCAAACAUGAAGUGAUUCAAAGAAUUGCAUAUUAUACAUAGGCCGUUUAUAAGUCAUUUUCCUUCAAACUGCAGCAAAGUUAUGUAUGUUCCAUUGACCAUUCCUACUUAUCAAGAACAUAAGUUGAUAGUGUUGACUGUAGAAAACUCAUAGGAGGAACAUGAGCCACUUAAAAAAAUCAGCAAAGCUUUAGACCUAGUUGGGAGCCCUUAUUAUCCAUUUUCACUAUGACAGGCUUUUCUUCUUGGACUGGCUGCUUGACUGGAACACUAGGGCUCGCUGCUUCAUCAAUUUCAUCCACAGAACGUUCGCUUAGGAUAUCAUCCUUAUUACUAUCUACAUUAGAUGCAGACACCCCGAGGAUCGACCUCUGGAAGUUACUGAGCUUCUCGACAUGAUCGGGGUGGAUGGUCAAUGGAAGCGAUAUGAAAUGCAAGCAAUCUAGCAUGUUGGAUGGGUGAUAAUGGAAAUUUUCUUGAGGACAAACCCGUGCAUAAGUUUUGUGAUAAACCUGUUUUAUGAGAGUUAAAGCUGUUUUUUGAGAGUUAAACCCAUGCAUAUGAAUAUAUUUUUUGUAGAACUGGUCGAAAUAUUUUUUGUGAGAGUUAAAGCUAUUUUCUGGAGGGAUAAACCCGUGAAUAAGUUUCUCAUAUGUAUAGACUAAUUAAUAGGAUGGCAAUUUAAGUUAAUUGGAGCUCUUUUUAAGAAGCGGUGGUCUGCUUUGGUUUCUUGUUGUUUGCCUAUUCUCUUAAAAACACUUGACUGACUGCAUAUACAUCAAUAAUAUGGGCAGUUGACUAUGGCGUUUUUAAGUGAAGGGUUUCAAAAAUCUAAUAUGACAAUGCCUAUUUUUCAUUGAAAAACAAAUAGUACCUUAUUUACUAUUUAGUUUUGAAGCUAGAAUAAUUUGACUACAUGCUUCCUGAGGUGCCUUCUGUUUUUGAAUAGUCAUAGAAUGCUCCUGAUUACGAGAUGUUCCUUUGUCACUAUUUGAAGUUCUGCCUAGGGUGGCCUCUGUCCUGGUUUACAGCUUCAUAUGACUACCUAUUUAUAACAUCUGUAGGUUCUGUUUGAACCGUCUCAAAUCACAUAGAGAUGUUAAAUUUUCAAUAUGUUGCCUUACGGCCGUGUGCCAUCACCAUGUUUACUCCAGAAAAGUGGAAUGUGUAGAGUUUCUGUGUUGAUUAGUCAAAUAUUUUCUUUACCUUAAAGAUUGUCCCCAUCUAUGUUCCAGGUUGUGGCUCCGCUGCAGCCUGCAGAUAUACCCAUUGCCAUUAAGCAUUUCUAUCUAUAUGCUUCUACAGAGUAUUUGCCUUUUGUACUAUAUGUUGAUGAAAUAAUUUCCUUAUAAGCUGGGAUAAGGCGUUUGUAGUUGGUAUUUGUACUAUAAGCUUGAUUUUUUGGUUCAUCUCAUCUCUGGUUAUUUUUUCGGUUUUUGUGUUUCUGCAGCAUAUUAUCAUUAGCAUAUAAAAUGUCUUAUGUUUCUUGUUUUCAACAAUUAUUCUUUGGCAGGGAAGACCGUGAUAACACUAAGAUUAUCAAGAAAGGAUUCAGAGCUUUUUCUUAAUCCAAAUUACCACACAUGAUGCAAAAUUAACAACCACAACUUUGAAAUAUGGAUGAUGGUGCUUAUUAUGUGCUAGAAAUCAAAUAUGAAAAGGAGAAGAUAAUGUUUGCGAAGGAGAGGGGAGAGAUAUACGGGUUGAUUCUGGGUAAACUUUGCUUAAUUCGUUGGAGAAAAUGCUCGAUAGAUCUCAUGGAUGGAUGAGGUUGUGGCAGUUGUUCUCGGGUGCAAUAUCUAUCUUGAUCGAUGAGGGCACAUUAGAAGCAGAAGAAGAGGAAACAUUUGGGGCGUCUAUGGCAUUGAACAUUCAGUGUUUCUGUAUUGUGUACAUGCACGGCCAAUUCAGUAAUUAGAUGGCCUUUUCAACUGUACUGGUGCUGCUACUUUUCACAUGCUAGCUUCUUUGAAAAGCGCCAACAGUGUGUACAAAAUGUAAAGAGUCCAUGUUGAAAGAACAGAAGUAGAAGUGGAGUUGAUGUAUUAAAGGUCAGUCAGGGAAUUCAGUCUCGAUUAGCUUAACUAAUGAUGUGUGAGUUGAGACUCACGUCAUUUUCAAAGUAACGGAAGUACAAGAGAUUACUUGAAAAUACACAUUUUUAAUGCGA